rnacentral:rRNA from 1 species
CGCCUGGGGAGUACGGCCGCAARGUUAAAACUCAAAGGAAAKUGACGGGGACCCGCACAAGCGGUGGAUGAUGUGGUUUAAUUCGAUGCAACGCGAAAAACCUUACCUACCCUUGACAUGCCAGGAACUUGCCAGAGAUGGCUUGGUGCUCGAAAGAGAGCCUGGACACAGGUGCUGCAUGGCUGUCGUCAGCUCGUGUCGUGAGAUGUUGGGUUAAGUCCCGCAACGAGCGCAACCCUUGUCAUUAGUWGCUACGCAAGAGCACUCUAAUGAGACCGCCGGUGACAAACCGGAGGAAGGUGGGGAUGACGUCAAGUCCUCAUGGCCCUUAUGGGUAGGGCUACACACGUCAUACAAUGGGCGGUACAGAGGGUCGCCAACCCGCGAGGGGGAGCCAAUCCCUUAAAACCGCUCGUAGUCCGGAUUGUAGUCUGCAACUCGACUGCAUGAAGUCGGAAUCGCUAGUAAUCGCGGAUCAGCUUGCCGCGGUGAAUACGUUCCCGGGUCUUGUACACACCGCCCGUCACACCAUGGAAGUGGGGUUUACCAGAAGUAGUUAGCUUAACCGCAAGGAGGGCGAUUACCACGGUAGGCUUCAUGACUGGGGUGAAGUCGUAACAAGGUAACCG